UACGUAGGGAGCAAGCGUUGUCCGGAAUCAUUGGGCGUAAAGCGCGCGUAGGCGGCCCUGUAAGUCCGCUGUGAAAGUCAAAGGCUCAACCUUUGAAAGCCGGUGGAUACUGCAGGGCUAGAGUCCGGAAGAGGCGAGUGGAAUUCCUGGUGUAGCGGUGGAAUGCGCAGAUAUCAGGAAGAACACCCGUGGCUAAGGCGGCUCUCUAGUACGGUACUGACGCUGAGACGCGAAAGCGUGGGGAGCGAACAGG
rnacentral:rRNA from 1 species